GAUGAACGCUAGCUACAGGCUUAACACAUGCAAGUCGAGGGGAAACGACAUCGAAAGCUUGCUUUUGAUGGGCGUCGACCGGCGCACGGGUGAGUAACGCGUAUCCAACCUGCCCACCACUUGGGGAUAACCUUGCGAAAGUAAGACUAAUACCCAAUGAUAUCUCUAGAAGACAUCUGAAAGAGAUUAAAGAUUUAUCGGUGAUGGAUGGGGAUGCGUCUGAUUAGCUUGUUGGCGGGGUAACGGCCCACCAAGGCAACGAUCAGUAGGGGUUCUGAGAGGAAGGUCCCCCACAUUGGAACUGAGACACGGUCCAAACUCCUACGGGAGGCAGCAGUGAGGAAUAUUGGGCAAGGGACGAGAGUCUGAACCAGCCAAGUAGCGUGCAGGAAGACGGCCCUAGGGGUUGUAAACUGCUUUUAUAAGGGAAUAAAGUGAGUCUCGGGAGACUUUUUGCAUGUACCUGAUGAAUAAGGACCGGCUAAUUCCGUG
rnacentral:rRNA from 1 species